rnacentral:rRNA from 1 species
UACGUAGGGGGCAAGCGUUGUCCGGAAUCAUUGGGCGUAAAGAGCUCGUAGGCGGCUUGUUGCGUCGGCUGUGAAAACCCAUGGCUCAACCGUGGGCUUGCAGCCGAUACGGGCAGGCUAGAGUUCGGUAGGGGAGACUGGAAUUCCUGGUGUAGCGGUGAAAUGCGCAGAUAUCAGGAGGAACACCGGUGGCGAAGGCGGGUCUCUGGGCCGAUACUGACGCUGAGGAGCGAAAGCGUGGGGAGCGAACAGG